AAGGAAGAGUGGCAGGUAUCACAAGAACAAGAUCCUCUGGACCUUUGUGUGUGGUCGUGGAAUUUAAGACUUGAUCUACCACGGAGCGGAGGCGGGAAAAUCAAGGAUGGGUUCUGUUUUUUUGGAGAACGGAGUGCAUAACCCUAGAGGGAAGGGCGAUAGGAGUACACCUGAUUAGUGCACUUGUCUUCACCUCAAUCCCUCAUAAGCACUCGCACCCUGCCCUCACCAACUCACCUAUGCACUUUUGUUCAUUCAAGCUGUGAGGUACCAUUUUUGGGGAUGGGAGCACAAUUACAACAGGAGGAUUGCUAUGACUUAUGACAAAGUCACUGAAAAGAUAUUCCCAAACUGAAAAUAAGAGACUCGGGAAUCUCGUCUUCUCCCACCUCCUGUAUAUAACCAUAUUUUUGUAUUAUCUUUCAGAGUAGAAAGACAAAUUUGCAAAUGGAUGAAGGAAAAUUCAUGAGACGAUGAUAAUACGGAGUGAAUGUUCUUCAAGAAAACCAAUCUUUUGAAUAUAGUUUGCGAUUGACUCGCUGUAAGUUUCCCUUAUUUUGCUCGUAACCCUGAAAUAAUCUGGGAUAGAAGAGGGUAAAAAAAAAAAAAAUACCAUGGACUGAGGUGUUGGACAUGCUGCAGUGGCUCCAAGACUGACUGAUGAUUAUCAAAAUGGAUGCUGCAGUCGCUACAAAGAGCUUAUGCCAAGAGUGUUUGCACAGUGAAGAGGCAGCCAUGGGUCUGAAGAGCUGCUGGUGAGGAUGCUUCUACUUUGUGCCCCAACCCGAUGACUGCCUUGAGAGCUGUAGAGUGACUGAAGGAAGAAAAAUCUUUGGCAAUGGAGUCUGGCUGUGCUUUAUUUGCUGCCCUCUGCAUGGAGGAUCUAAUCUACAGCCAACCCAUGAACCAGUUAUCCCUAAACCUGUCCUUUUGAACUUAAAUCCUAAGAAACUUUUCUGUCUUGACCUCGGACUGGGCAGGCCAUUGGCAUUAUCAGUUGGACAGUUACCGGAUGAAGUUGCAGGUUUAUCGACCAUGGAGCCCAUCUGUGUUGGAAGUGUAAGGUUUAGGAUUUGAUCGGGCACUCUCCAGCGAGAACAAGAAUAAAGAAGCACGUAUUGCCCAGAUGUCAUCACCCACCUCGGCCUGAAACACUCAGGUGGUUGCGUGAAGGUCUUCUAACCAGCGGGACAGAAGACCUGCCCAGACGUCAGACCGAGAGCUGUGUAGGGUUUCAAUGGACGUGGCUGGAUUACAUCUUAGUCACCAGAAAUCCCUGCAGCCGUGGAACUGGAUGAACUGAAAUAAUUGUACAAAACAAAGACUUUGAAACAUCAACAAAACACGAAUACGUAGCUACAUGUCACAUAGAUUCUAGAGUUGCAGACACACUACAUGCACACCUACAGCAAAAGCAACGGACACCCGGUAACAGUGGCUCUCCUCUGGAACCACAUCUUCACACAUAACGGGGCUACGUCGAUAUCAAAUCAUACACAUUACAGACAGACACACAAGCAUCGUCGCUCACCAAUAUAAACGCUGAGCUUUGUAAAUGUAAAAGUUUGUGUUUUGAUUUUUCUCAUAGUGGUUUUGAUUUAUUUCUCUGUUCAACAUGCCUUAAAUUGUAUAGUGCAGUCCUGAACGGCUAACUGAAAAUGUUUAAGUUGGAAACCACCUCCUUAACUGUCCUCUAAAUUCAAUGAAAGAAAUUAGCUUUCUACAAGACUGUUUACUGUUGGCAGUCUGUUCUGUAUUAACUUGAUGCGUGUACUUCUGAUCACCAUGAACGUUACUAUUUCGCUACAGAAUAGAGCAGCAAGCAGUCUUUAAUUAAUCUGAUUUUGCUGGUGGUUAGCUUUUGUUGCCCUUUUGGUUUCCUUAAAAUGAAGAGUGGAUGUGUUCGAAUUUCCUGUUUAGAUUAUUGCUGAAGGUGCAGGCUUAAUAAAGGGCUGAAGUCUGUACUGUCUGGAGCUGAGCUGACAGGGUGGGAUGCACAGAAUUGGCUUAAAGCACCGACUUGUUGUUGUGUGCUAACUAUUGUUGGAUAUCCUGCUCUAGGCAAAACUGAACCAGAGUGGCGGGUCGUCCUCAAAGAGAUACAAGUUGGGGCUUUUUGGUAAAAGUUUUUACACUCCGGUGGACUUAAAUGUUUUGGAUCAGCUAGGUACUUUUUUACAGUUUAAGAUGUGAAAUCAGGCUUGUAGGAGGCAAAAUUGUUAGAGCAAGCUUGCAUGAUUUGUAAUAUUUGUGGGUUCUGACACUAAACCUUAAGGCGGGUCACAACUUGGCCCAGAUUGCUUUAGCUCUGUCUGUGCGCCGGGUAGUGCUGCUGACCAUGUCUGAUGGCGCUGAAUUGAUUAAGAAUUGUCUGAUCAGUUGUGUUAUCUGAAAGGAAAUUCUAUGUUCAGAAAAUUUGGCAAGUGUAUUGUUCCUUGUAUGUAUAUCUAAUUGGAUUGGAGAGAUUUGUGCUUUUAGUCAACCUGUAUUUUUUUUUUUGUGUCCUCAAUAACUAAACAAUAUGUUUUUAAAUCAAAUGACAAUUGAUGUACAUUGAAUACCUUCAACUUAGACUUGUGAUAUAAUUAGCUGAGGUUUUGGUGGAUAGUUAUCUCCUAUAGCCACAGUAGGCAUACUAAAGGGUUCAGCUGCCAAAUCAAAGAAAUUGACUUUAAUCAUAAGAUAAUACUAUCAAGUCUCUUAUUUGUGAAUGACUUUAAAAAAUACUAAUGUUUGACAUUUUUAAAAACCGAUAUUGUGCGGUAUUAGUUGUUGGUCAGUCAGUCAGUCUGUCUACAAAAAGUCAAACAAGGUUGUUUGCACUAUGCAAGCUUUUAUGGUUAGAUAAACUGCAAUAUUGUGUUGUCAAAAAGCCCUGGAUUGGUUUCAUCCUUUGAAAGAUCCUGUCACGGCCUGCCCACUUAACGUCAUGAAUUUGGUCAUCUGGUUUCUUUGAACUCUGGUAACUAUAAUUUCAAAAAUAUUGGCUUAAAAGAUAUGAUUUUUUUUUUUCUCCCCCUAGUCAACUCAGCUCCUGUGCUUAAAAAGUCUUUGAAUGUUGUUAAAAUAGCAGCAUACAUGUAAGAGAUUUGGAAAAGAACAAUUGAAAGAUGUGUAAAUAGUUUGGCUUUUGUUUGAAGAACAAAAUAAAUACUAAAUAAA